UACGGAGGGUGCAAGCGUUGUCCGGAAUCACUGGGCGUAAAGGGCGCGUAGGCGGCUCAUGAAGGCUGUGGUGAAAGUCCGGGGCUCAACCUCGGAUCGGCCGUGGCGACUCGUGGGCUGGAGCACUGUAGAGGCGGGUGGAAUUCCGGGUGUAGCGGUGGAAUGCGUAGGAGAUCCGGAAGAACACCGGUGGCGAAGGCGGCCUGCUGGGCAGUGGCUGACGCUGAGGCGCGCAGCGUGGGGAG
rnacentral:rRNA from 1 species